rnacentral:rRNA from 1 species
AGGUUAAGUUACAAAGGGCGCACGGUGGAUGCCUUGGCACUAGGAGCCGAUGAAGGACGGAACUAAUACCGAUAUGCUUCGGGGAGCUAUAAGUAAGCUUUGAUCCGGAGAUUUCCGAAUGGGGGAACCCAGUACACAUCAGUGUAUUGCUUGUCAGUGAAUACAUAGCUGGCCGGCGGCAGACGCGGGGAACUGAAACAUCUCAGUACCCGCAGGAAGAGAAAGAAAACUCGAUUCCCAUAGUAGCGGCGAGCGAAGUGGGAAGAGCCCAAACCGAGAAGCUUGCUUCUCGGGGUUGUAGGACUGGACAUUGGAGUUACCAAAGUCCGACGUAGUCGAAGUCAGCUGGAAAGCUGCGCCACAGAAGGUGAAAGCCCUGUAAGCGAAACGUCGAACCCUCCGUCCAGGAUCCUGAGUACGGCGGAACACGUGAAAUUCCGUCGGAAUCCGGGAGGACCAUCUCCCAAGGCUAAAUACUCCCUAGUGACCGAUAGUGAACCAGUACCGUGAGGGAAAGGUGAAAAGCACCCCGGAAGGGGAGUGAAACAGUUCCUGAAACCGUGUGCCUACAAUUAGUCAAAGCCCGUUAAUGGGUAAUGGCGUGCCUUUUGUAGAAUGAACCGGCGAGUUACGUUUGCUUGCGAGGUUAAGAUGAAAAGUCGGAGCCGUAGCGAAAGCGAGUCUGAACAGGGCGAAUGAGUAAGCAGAUGUAGACCCGAAACCAAGUGACCUACCCAUGACCAGGUUGAAGGUGUGGUGAAACACACUGGAGGACCGAACCCAUGUAUGUUGAAAAAUGCUGGGAUGAGUUGUGGGUAGCGGUGAAAUUCCAAACGAACUUGGAGAUAGCUGGUUCUCUCCGAAAUAGCUUUAGGGUUAGCCUCGGAGGAUGGAUCAUGGAGGUAGAGCACUGUUUGAACUAGGGGCCCAUCAAGGGUUACUGAAUUCAGAUAAACUCCGAAUACCAUCGAUCUUACUCCGGGAGUCAGACAGUGAGCGAUAAGGUCCAUUGUCGAAAGGGGAACAGCCCAGAUCACCAGUUAAGGUCCCUAAAUUUAUGCUAAGUGGAAAAGGAUGUGGCGUUGCACAGACAACUAGGAUGUUGGCUCAGAAGCAGCCACCAUUUAAAGAGUGCGUAAUAGCUCACUAGUCGAGUGGCACUGCGCCGAAAAUAUACCGGGGCUAAGCAUAAUACCGAAACUGUGGGUGCACCCGUAAGGGUGCGCGGUAGGAGAGCGUUCUAAGGGCGUUGAAGGUCGAUCGUGAGGACGGCUGGAGCGCUUAGAAGUGAGAAUGCCGGCAUGAGUAGCGAAAGAUCAGUGAGAAUCUGAUCCACCGUAUGACUAAGGUUUCCUGGGGAAGGCUCGUCCUCCCAGGGUUAGUCGGGAUCUAAGGCGAGGCCGAGAGGCGUAGUCGAUGACAAGCAGGUUGAGAUUCCUGCACUAGUUUAUUUUGUUUAAGCGAUGGAGGGACGCAGGAGGCUAAGGAAAGCGCACGGCUGGAAAUGUGCGCCCAAGCAGCAAGUCUGACAGCGAGUAAAAUGCUUGCAGUCUUAAGGACAAGCUGUGAUGGGGAGCGAAAUUAUAGUAGCGAAGUUCCUGAUGUCACACUGCCAAGAAAAGCUUCUAGUGAGAAAUAAACUACCCGUACCGCAAACCGACACAGGUAGUCGAGGAGAGUAUCCUCAGGUGAGCGAGCGAACUCUCGUUAAGGAACUCGGCAAAAUGACCCCGUAACUUCGGAAGAAGGGGUGCUGACCGCAAGGUCAGCCGCAGUGAAUAGGCCCAAACAACUGUUUAUCAAAAACACAGGUCUCUGCUAAAUCGUAAGAUGAUGUAUAGGGGCUGACGCCUGCCCGGUGCUGGAAGGUUAAGAGGAUGAGUUAGCGCAAGCGAAGCCCAGAAUUGAAGCCCCAGUAAACGGCGGCCGUAACUAUAACGGUCCUAAGGUAGCGAAAUUCCUUGUCGGGUAAGUUCCGACCCGCACGAAAGGCGUAAUGAUUUGGGCACUGUCUCAACGAGAGACUCG